CUCGUAGGCGGUUCGUCGCGUCCGGUGUGAAAGUCCAUCGCUUAACGGUGGAUCCGCGCCGGGUACGGGCGGGCUUGAGUGCGGUAGAGGAGACUGGAAUUCCCGGUGUAACGGUGGAAUGUGUAGAUAUCGGGAAGAACACCAAUGGCGAAGGCAGGUCUCUGGGCCGUUACUGACGCUGAGGAGCGAAAGCGUGGGGAGCGAACA
rnacentral:rRNA from 1 species